AGUAAGAAUUGGAAUAAGGCUGUACUGAAGCUCCAUCAAGUCCAGCAUCUUGUCUCCAACAGCAGGCAAUGAGCUAUCAGGUAGCCAAGCAGGCCAAGGUGCUGCAUUCAAACUGCAGUGUGCACUGGAGGUGCACGUCGAAAUCUCAUUUUUAACAGGUCCCUGGUUCCUCUUUUAUCAUCAGUGUGCUAGAUGGUGCUGGCGUUGCCAGGACUAGGGAUAUCUUGGACCACAGUUUGCAGAUUUCAGUGGACUCUCCGUUGCUCACCCUCCAUGUGGGGUCAUCCAUGCUGCCUUCUCCAGAAGGUAAGGAGCAGAUUAUUGCCUGCUGUCUCUACUGAAUUCUGCAGCAGUAGUCCCCUCAUAGUCCCAGCCUUGCAGAGCUCCUUCUUGGACCUUGCAUCUCCUUACCACACCCGGCCAGGAACUGUUUUAAUAGAGAUUUAACGUUCAGCUGGUCUGCCCCCAAAUCAUGCUGUGGAAAUACUUCCUCCUCCUGGUGGUCCUCUCUCUUUUCUCUUGCCUGUACAUCCUCCCUAGACACGCAUGCUAUGGGACUUCUUACAUUGGAAGAGAAUGAAGGAUCCCAGCAGGUCACCUUGUACUCCUAGCUGAUCGCAUGGCCCACCAGGAAUGUAAGUCAGGAAAUCCUCCUGGGAGCAGCCUGUGCUCACAGCAGGUCUCACAGGGUGCGCUGACCAUUGUGGACCAGCUGGGGACCUGACCCUGCACGCAGACCAACUGUGCCAAGCUGCGGCCCCUCUCCUGGUGCCUCCAAGACCUCUUGUUGUGAGGUGGGUUUUUUUAUACCUUCCCCAUCUGAGAUCUUACUGAGUCAUGGGACUUCCUGAUCAACUUCCCCCACCACCCCCAGCAGCAGAAAGAGGAAGCCUGGGGACAGGGUCCUGGUGACUGCAGGGCCUAUAUCCAUUCCCUUUUCCUCUCAGGUCUCCUGGUACGGCACCAGUGGGCACUGUCCACUGGCUUCUCAGAUGCCUUCAGGGUGGUGUGCCCAGCAUUCCCCUCUGGUUCCCUAUCCGUGGUGCCUGACCCUUUGACCUUGAUCUUCCUCUCUUCUCCCCUUUGUUGUUCCCCGCGAUCAUCUGGCUUUCCCCAGGUCUUUCAAAGAGCAUAAGAUCAGUGCAGGCAUGUACUGACACUUCAACAGAAUACUUGUCCAGCCUGAAAAGAGUUAAGGCAACUCACCCCUAUUAUGUGUAAUAACUUUGUGCCUUCACUGAAUUGUCUUCUCACCAUAUGCCCUCUUUUCCAGUUCAUUUAUAAAUAGGUUAAACAGCAGGAACCCAGGAACAAAACCCCCUCAAACAUCACUGGAGACCUCCCUCAAAUGUGAACACUGGCCAUUUAUCCUCCUCUUUUAAUAGGUUAUUCACAUUAAGAGUUUUUCUCUUGUCCCACGGUGCCUUAAUUUCUUUCAGAGCCAUUACUGAUGGACCUUUACGUCUUUGGAAAUUGUUGCUGGGAUUCUAUAUGGCUGACCUUGUUGUGGUUUUCAUUUAACUUGCCAGAGUUUAUGAUCCUUUCUAUUUCCAUUCUUGGACACAACUUCUAUUUUCUGAAGAAAGUCUUCUGCUUCUAAUAAAUUCCUUUAUCCUGCUGUUAGCCAUGUCAGCUUUCCUUUUGGUCCUUCCAAAGUGUUUGUCCAUACACAGAGGCUUAAAGCAAAUGUGCUCCUACAUGUUAUGUUUAAAUAGUCACCAUACAAACAUUUUAGCCUUCAGGCAUCCAUUUUAGUUUCUUUUUAACAAGGUUCCUUGUUACUAUGUAAUUCUAUUGUAUUUGGGGAUUUUUUGGCUUUUCUUCCCUAGGCAAUGUUGAGCAGGAACAUUUUGAACCAGGUUCUGUGUUGCUCCGGGCUAAUAUAAAAGUUUCGUUGUCUUUUGUAGGCUCUUUCAUGCAGCAACACUAUUUUCUUUUUCUGCAGCAUCAAUCCUCGAUGUGACAUUUGCCCAGUAUGCAGGUGGGGAAUUGAUAUCUGUUACUGUUGCAUUCCUUGCCCUGUCAGCAACUCUGAUCUCCCUCAGCAUGUAAUAGAUGCAGACAUUUGAUCUAACCCUGAUACGGCAUAUUUAUGACUUAGACCAGGAAUGUCAGGCUAUAUAGGUUUUGAACUGCUUGUAAACACAAUUAGCUUGUAACUUUGAUUUGGCACAAACCUUUCUCUAAUACAUGUUACCACUUCUCUACUGCUGUUGCCUCCUCUGCCUUUUGUCAUACUUUGCACGCUGAUUCUAGAGCAUCUGAUCAAUUGCCUUCUUCCCAUCAAGUUUUUGAUAUAUAUAGUAUAAGAUCAUCCCUCUUUAAAGUCAGGCAUUUUUGUUUCUCCAUCUUGUUUGUUAGACUACUAGCAUUUAUAAAGAAGCAUCUUUUCUUUCUCUCUCUCUGUGCUAUGGGAUUCCUUUUCUUUGAUUAUUCUUCAUCCUUUCUUUUUAAGUUUCACCAAAUUAUUGUUAUUCACUGGAGGACAAAGUUUUCCUGACUUUCUGCUCUGAAUAUGUGCCAUUCUGAAUCAUAUUUUAGCACUUGUCAACUUCUCCCUUCCUUCAAUUUAAAAAAAAUCUCCUAACACCUUUUUAAGUGCCAUCAGUGGUUUCAUUUUAGUUUACCUGAAUCUGACUACAUACAUUCUGAAAGUUUUCCCAUUUACUAACAAGUUCAAAUCCUUUGUCUUCAACCAUUUCCUAGCCACUCAUUGAGAAUUUGUCUCUGUUUCUCCCAGUUCAGCCCUGCUCAUGAUAUUGGAGGCAUUCCAGCUGAAGCUACUAUGGAGCUCCUGGCCUCCAGCUUACCAUCUGACUGCAUUUUGCCUGCAGGAACCCUCUUCUCCCUUCCCAAGGUCAUUGCUCCAUACAGUAUCCAAAGGCUCCCUUAAGCCUUCCCCAAAAGCCUGCCCAGAUAUUCCACACCAUCCAGCAAGCAGAUACUGCAUCCAGCAGUCUAACCACCAUGCAGUCUUUUCUGGUAUCAUGAAACUGCAUGGAUGUAUGCCUGAUAAAGCAUCAGAGUCCCUCUACCACUGUAUCUUCCUGAAAACUGGGAUGUGAAGAGUAAUCUCAGUGCAAAAGCAUAUGUGGCCUCAAGCUGUGAGAUCAUUUCUGCGUGUGCCGCCCCCCUUCCCCCCCCCCCCCCCAGGGUAAGACUUCCAGCCAUAAAGCCUUCCCCCACCUCAGCAGCAUGGGGACUGUAUAAGCCUGGAGGUAGGACUGCUCAGUGAUGGUCCUAAAGACACUGCCAGUGCAUUUGUUUGUUACCCUGAAAUCUUUUAGUUCAGGUGUCAGGGCCUCAAGGACUAGGAUGUUGGGCUAAUUGCACUGGAUACGCAUAGUCAUUACCUAUGAACUGAGUAGAUAAUGAUUUAUAGUGGUCAGUGGAGCAAACUGAGGACUCCUUGCCCACUCACUAUUUAAAUACCCAGCUGGUGCUUUAGUUUGCUUAUGAUUAGGAGAGUUCUGAUGGGCUCUAUCCCCAGCUCCAGGCACAGAUCCCUGAAAGAGGAGCCAUUCAGAUACCUAAAACAAGGAGACAGGCAAACCCUCCUUCUGGCAGAUCUCCUUUUACACCACCCAGCACCGCCGGUUUGGACCUGCUGUGAUCCCACGAUUGGAAGGACAUUUUACAAACAUUUCGGUUCAAAUGCCCUGAGCAGAGGCGUUCCACAGGAGUCAGAAAUGCUUUCAAAGUAAGGAUCUACCGCCUGAGAGCUCCACACUCAUGGAAGACAAGACGACUCACGAAGCAACAGCAAAACAGAGAGCAGCAACACCCAACAAAGACUGUGAAGCACCAGGUGUGUAGUUGCUGCUGGAACAGCUGCUUCAUGGGAGGUAGCCUAGGAUGGAGCCCAGCCUGCCUGGAGAUGAGGGACCAGAGCAACUGGACAAGGGAGCAUGCUCAUCUGAGUUCCCAUAAAGUCCCUGGGAAUGACUUUCUUCAGAACAGUAGGACACCAGGCUCUCCCCGCAGCCUCCCUCAUUCCUUCAGCUCAGGGCUCUGCACACAAGCUGUCGUCAGCAAAACCUUUAGUAACCAUGCUGAUGCACGUAAGAGAUGGAAAGGGGAACCGCUGUUUCUUGAGGGGGAGGCUGAGGAAACAGGUGACGCGUGGUGGGAGGAUGAGCAGUGAGAAAUGGAGAAAUGAAAAAUAGAAAGUUUUCGCUAGAGCUGUGACAAAUAUAGCUCUUCUAAGUGUAAUGGAACUAGACGGCCCACUAGAGUGGGCAGAGACAACUUGGUGGCCUUUUAAAAGAGGAAGGAGUGACAAAUAUGUGAAGAUACUAAACUGACCUAUAACCUGAGAGCCCUGACUCUCAAGCUUUCGGGGUUCACGCUGAGGUGAUUUUAAGAAGCUACUGGUCCAAAUUACCCACCCAUUGCCACAGGUUAUUGCCCCAUUACUGACUUGUCAGAAAUAGCAGUGUGCCUACACCAUAGGCACCAGACUGAUAUACUGACAUAAACUGAGGUGACUGUGGCUAAUUCAGUUCACUAGGAUGUGGACUGUGGUGGCCAAGGCAUCUCCUUCUUGAUCCCUAUCAGAUCUAGUUGAAUAGGUGAUCAGCUGAGGUCAGAAACCUCCUGAGCCAUCACAGCCUAAGUUGACAAGCACCAAGAGUUGCCAAGAGAGCACCAGGAGAGCCUUGACACCAUUUUAGCCAAUUUGCUUGUCUUUAGACCUCCUUUUCUCUGCUUUUCACAAAUUCCUUUGUUGCCCUAGCUUGCAGAAGGUUUACAAAAGCACUGUAAGCUCGUUCUUUUGGUCUGUUGUCUUUCCCCUAGGGAGCCGAGUGCCAGACCAAGUAGCACAGACAGGAUGUAAUCCCUUGACAUGGUUUAGCAAAGAGCACUGGUAGCUUUAUAGCAUGGCUGUCAGGGUGCAGCGAGGGCCGGGGAGAAAUCCCAGGGUGGCAAGGCAGGGCCUGGCACCCGGGGCCUGUCCCACCGCCCUGGCCAGGGCAGCCUGGGCAGAGGCAGCCCCAGCUCCGGGCAGCCGGCACCUCCAUGGGGAUGGGAAUGGGCCCACGGCCAGGCAGGGCAGGGCUUUGGGGAGCUGGAGACCGGCCCUGCUGUGGCAUCAUGGGGCAGGGAUCCACAGCCCCGGGUGGCUGAAAUGGGGUCCUGGGCUCUGGGCAGCGUGGGGGGAGCCCCAGGAGAGCUGGGGCAGGGACAGGCAGGGCUGGUGGUGCCCUCAGGGCCCUGACAAUGUCAUUGUCCAAGACUGACAGUUUUGAUCAUCUCUGCUCAUAUUAAGGAACUACAGAGGAAAACCUCCUCCAAGAAAUGUGUUGCAAAACUAAGCUUAAUCCACUGUAAUUGAAGUUCUUUAUUGUUACCUUGGUCAUGUGCUCUGAUAACCACAGUGCAAAUUACCACUGCAGAGCUGAAAAGAUGCCUUACACUUGGUGCCAGGUUUGCACUGCUUCUGGAGAUUUGGUUUAGUUCAGGCUACAGCGAUCCCUGCACAUGCUAGGAGGAGCUGCUAAUGAAUGGCAAGUAGUCCCACGAGAAUCACGACUAAUGGCUCCCGCUCAGUUAGAUAAUCAACCAUUUAAUAAAGGGUGAGCUUCUACCUCUUCCCUUCCAUGGGGAGCAUUAAUGCAUUAUUUUUCCCCUCCUUAGCCACUUAUUUCCACAAAAGUGGUAGGAAUGUAAUAUUUUUGAAACCACUCUUCCUCUAUUAAUCUUAGCUAAAAUUGCCCCAUGGAUUCAAAAGUUAUUAGGAAGAGCUAGAUGGUUGUACAGAUGUUGACAGACAGACACAAAGCAUUGUUGUAUUAAGAAAGCACUCAAGUUUAUACCAACACAGAUUUUUUAAAUCACGUUAACAUCCAGCAGAUAGCUACUAGUAUGAGGAUUAUGUUUCAUUUCUACACAAGUCUCACUAACAGCCUAAGAAGCUAAAGGAGCUCAGAAAGAAGCGGCCAUUGCUUAGACUUCAUGCCUUGAUGGUCUUCUCUGGGAAGGAGUGAUCGCACUUUCAGGACUUUGCAGGAGGGCUUGCAUAAAUACUCUUCAGAGACUAAAAGUUUUGCUUUGCGCAUCCGAUUCCAGAUCUUUCAAAGCUGCAAUUAUCAUCUUUCUCCUCUCCAACAUUUUAUAAAUUAAACCCUCUCUUACUCCGUCCACUUCCUAUGUUAGCCUUUCCCUUCUCAUACCUUGAGACUUGAAGGAGCAGAGGUUGCUGCUCUUACUGAUGCUGAGCUUCUCAAUAGCUAAAAAGCCAUAUUGCUUUAUGUGAGUAUUUGUUUCUCAGGGAAGUUCAAGCUUUAGAUAUAAACAUUUGUGAGUAAUUUCUCCUUAGGACUAUUUAAAAUAUAAUGAGAUCUACAUUUUAUAUUGAUUUGAGCUUUGGUUUACUUGUUCAUGUAUUUUUUAAAAAGAACAGAUGCUGCUUGAAUGUUUCCUAUGAGGCAGAUUAUGAGGCAGAUUAAACACACUCUAGAGAGCACACCUGAGCCAAAGGUCAAUCUUUCUCAGCAAGCCAGCCAGCAACAAAUGGCUCCAUGGUUUCACAAUUUUGGUAAUGAAGGCUUAUAAAGUAGACUAUAAAGAAAUUAUUUUUAUUUAUUUUUAUUUAACUGUCUACAAACUACUGAAACACAUGUUUUGAAAAUUUUUGCUCUAGUAGCCUGCAGAGGAUAGCAUCUGGUUUUCUACCUACAGUAUUAUUUAAUUUGGAAAAUUCCAAGUCUUCCAAUAAAUUGGUCUGGCAGCUUUCACUGUAGAAUCACAAGUUGAGUGGUUUCCACUGCCAGCCAUACCUACAGUUCUGCCCUUCUGAGAAGUGUAUUUCUCGCAAGACUUAAGCUUCUUUCAAUUAAAGUCUGAAAUGGCUUUGUCGUAUCUGUGGGCCACUGUACUUGUUGUAAAGAACCUCAUUUAACUAAUCUCACUGCCAUUGCCUUUAAAAUGAUGGUGUUCAUGCCCAGGACAAGCACUCUGUUUCUUCCAUGAGAGGCUUGGUUACCUCAGAGAGUUGUGCCAAUUAUGUCAGGGAAAAAUAAUCUCUUCAAAACUCUCCAUGCUAGCCCUAAGCAGAGUAGUAAAAACAGAUUGGUGAAAUAAAAGCUGUGAUCUGUCACCAUGUAUGGCCAAGAGGAAUUACUGAAAAGCUCAUUGUGUUCCCUCCUCACCCUCUGAAUCACUCUGGGUAUUACAGUUUAGUCGAUGUAUUUCAAAGGCAGAAGAGAAAUCAAUGUUGCAUCAGUGUUCAAAAUGUCAAAGCCACCCAAACAAGCAGUGGAUGUGUCACUUGUUUGUGAUGAUCUCUACUAAAAGAUUAUUCUGUAAACUAUCUUAAGCUAAAACUCUAGUUUGUUUAUCUUCAGAAAGGAACUGGGCAGUUUUGUGGGGGGAUGAAGGGAGAAAGUAAUGCUUUUUUUUCAGGAAGAGUUUUUUACUGCUAUUCAUCCAAAGACAGAGCAACUGUUAGUUGGUCCGUUUGAGUGAUUUUGUUAAAUGAAGGUGGGGAAUAACAAGUCACAGGAAGCCUGGCCAUGUUUCCAGGGGAGAACAGAGCAUUUGUCUCCUAUCUAUCUAAAGUGGCCAACCGAAAUGGCAAAGUCCCUCAGCAAAAAAGCAGAAUUAUAUGAAUUUAAAAAUACCACAAGCAUUUCAGUACAUAGCUACACAUGCCAUGGAAACUGAGACAUUUCCUACUGACAGUGGAAGCAGAAUGUUUAUAUUAUAAACUAUUCUUGAUGGCUCUGAAUGAUAAAUGUCAAAAACAAGUGAUCGUAGAGGGAAAUCUAUUCUAGCAGAAUUCUAAAUCUGCUCUGAAAAGCAUAUUCAGACUGAAGAAAUUGAUGGAACCGGUAUUUUACAGAAGCCCUUUGUUUUCUCCUUUCAUCUACAGUUUCUAAAUACAGACCUGUAAUAUUUUUCCCAUGGGUUUGGAAGAUCUGCAUUUCUCCUGAGAUGACUUCCUAAUUCUUUCAACCACCACUUCACCCUUGUUACUCAUCUGUGCUGAUAUUUCACCUUUCUAAAGUUUUGAAUCAAGGCAUUAUCUGUGUGAAAUGUCUGGUCAAGCAGUUACAGAUUACAAAAGCUCAUGUCUGUGGCUCUUCAUCUGGUAGAGAUGGGAGGUAAGAGGGACCAGGCAGUCAGAGAAAAGGGCCUAAGUAUCUCUAAUCUUCUCUACUCUCCUUUAUUCUCUGCCUUAGGAAUGAUUGCACUUCAGAAUGAGGAUCACAGGGAAAUAUUUUUUUUCUGUCUUUUCUGAAGUCUUCACUAGCUGUAGUUGCUUUAGGAUUCCCCAAGAUGAUAUCUGAGUAUAAAUCAUUUCUAAAUUUUUAUUAAAAAUUGAUGCAAGAGAGAGCAGUGAGAACAAAAUUGGGAUCUUAGUCUAAAUUCUGUUCAGUUUCUGUUUUUCAGUUACUCUGGGUAUAAAAUGUGAAAAAAUAUAGAAGUGGAUAAUCCGAUUUUGUUUCAGAAGUAAGUGUUUUAUUGUUCAGUGUAGAAGUGUAUACUCUACUUACACAAAAGAAGAGUUGUGAAUCUGUGAAUCUGGUUGUUGAAUCUUCACUGGGAUUUUAUUUUCCACCAGUUUUCAUUUCCACAUUUCAUUUCCUUCCUGGUCCUGUGUGCCACGUAUCCAAAUCUCUGUGUGACCAAACGCAACGAUACACGGGCCAUGUGGUUUGAAGAAAGAAAUGGGGAGAUGGGGUGGGGACCCUAGAUUCAGAUUAUCCACCAGCAAAGUGCCCCAGCAGCCACAGACUUAGCCUUGGCCCUGUGCCGCACGCACUUGCCGCUCCUGAGUUAGUUGGUUUAGUUGAAGAGGCCAGAGCUGUGCUUCCACCGUCAAAGGUCAAGAUCACUGAUGGGUGCCAGUGGUCCCUCUGAAGACCCUAAUGAAAGUAAGGCUACAGGCUGCCUUGCGUUCUCCAGGAAUUCACGUAGAGGUAGUUAACUUGUUGGAAAUGCACCUUUGGUUUUUUUGGAGUGGAAAAACCGGUGCUAAUUGACAGGGUAGGAGAUGUCUGGGUAUGUUGGAGGAUUCCUUUUUCUUUAAAUGGAGGGGGAAAAAAGACAUGCAGAAUUUCUAUUUUGAUGAACUGACUCUAGGUGGCAACAACACGCUGUGUAGCCUUACCAGAGGCUAGUCAGGCAAAGACUAUUGAAUGCUUCUUACACAGAGGCAAAAAAAUGGUAGCAGUUUCAGUACUGCUUCUAGAAAAUUUUCUAGCUGAUUGCACCAGCUGCACAUUGCUAGAAACAUUUCCAGAUUCUGUCAGUUUUCAUUGUAAUAGAGGACCUGGUUUUUCAACACAUAUUUUGAAUAAGAUGCUGCAUGUUUCAUUUUGUAGGCAUAAUGCUGCAGGGAUGCAGAGGAAAAUUAGCAAACUAUUCUCUUUUGGUUAUCUUUUGUUUGGAUGGGCGAUCUCAGGAAGUGCAUAUAUAAUCCUGAUUUGUAAUGAUGCCUGUAAAAGUGCACAGAUGGGUAUGUACAAUUGCAGUUCUGUGGCAUUCACCAACGAUGCUCUUGAAAUGCCACUUCAUCACCUUGUCAAAAAACCAGCCGCACAGAUACCUACAAAAUGCCUGCCACAUCUUCUGUGUAAAACUGCUUUAUCUGCCAAAAGAUUUGUGAUGGCCUAUUUCACUCCUUCACUACAUAUCCAGCUUCCUGGGCUUAGCGGUAGAUAAGCAAACACUUGCACAAUAUAAAACUUUUCACAAGUAUGAUGAACUGCAGUGUUUUCGCAUUUUUCUCAAAAGUCAGUUUGACUGUUAACUCCACUGACCCUUGAAAUAUUUAAAUCUGUUAUUGAUGUGUUCAUAGACAUAGGGAGAAAGCAGAGAAAAAAAUACUAGUUUUGAUUACCUGUUGCAGCAAAGAAAGAACUGUCUUUGUAACCAUACUACAUACUAAUAAUGACCACAGAAAAUCUUUCAAGUGUCAUGACAUCAUGUUUGUAGCAAGGCCAAAGUGUCUGAUGGCAUCUACAGGAUAUGAUAAACUUCUUUAUUACUCUGUCAAAGUGACAAAGCUGUGAAACCCUGUGAUUAAAUCAGCUGUUUUGUAUAAUUGAGCCAUUCACCUGCAUGUUGUCAAUUAAUAUCCUCUGAGGCUACUUCCAGUAUUUCAAACCUCUAAGCUACUUUCAAAGGAAAGAACUGUCAUUUAAAACAUAAAAAUGUAUCACCUGAAAGCAAUUUCUUCCUUUCUUACCAAAGUGUGGAGUUUCCCUUUAAAUAAUACUGAAUCAGGUUUCCAGAUUCACAGUACUCUAAAUUAAUAUCUUAUAAUCCUCUAUAAACCUGGUAGACUGAUUUUUUUUUUUUAAUAAAUAUGUAUAAAUUAAUCAGGAUUUAUUCCUAGUAGGAAUACAUAAACCUAUCUGGGAUGAGAGUGCCCUAAAAAGGAAAAACAGAAUCCACUAACCCUUUAAGGUACUUUGUGUCAAUGUAUUUUGUGUAACGCUUAUUUUUAUUAGUUUUUCUUCCUUUCAUUUAAGCAGUAGUUUCACUAUACAUUUUUCAAAAAGUGGGGACAUGAUGGUAAAAAUAAUGGAAACACAAUUGGAAAAAUUGGUUUUAUCUAUUACAUAUUGUCCACAUACAUAUCAUAAUAUAUUGUUUUUCAAGUUUCCUUGUGUUAAAAAGGCAUAUCUGUGUAAAAACAAUGCUGCUAACCGUGGUGGGUGUUUUCAGUUGUAUUCUGAGAUACCCACACUUACUUGGAGGCACGUGUACCACCCCAAGAGGUGAGGUGUGACAGUUGAGUACACGAGCACUGAAGGCGCAUUUUGGACAGGCCCUGAGAUCCUUCUCAACUCGUCUCCCGCACAGCUUGAGGAGACUCUUGAUAAACUAUCAUCACGUAAAGCUAUCAUAACACCCGUCCUGUACUAUCUGUGGUAACCCUCAAAUGGAAAAAGUGACACUUUCAUUACAACCACUGCGGCUGUUUUCAGGAGUCACUCACCUGUUUGUCUCCCCACAGGUGUCCCAUGUGUCACCCCCGCUUUCCGAUGCUAGUAGCUCUCAUUUCCCUCACGUGCCCUGCAUGCUCAUUAUUUUCUUUCUGCUUCCCAUACCCGGUGUCCCAUUCUCACCCCACAGUAGGCUCAUCUCACACUCCUUAGAGGUGGUAUUUUCAUGCCACAUUCCACAUCUUUUCCCAAAAAGCUUCGUCUACACUAAGAGUCUCUGCACUGUUUCUUCACCCAGUCGGACCUCUCCCCUCAGGCUGCUACCAGUUCUGUUUCCUUCCUUCCCUCUCCAUACCGAUACUUCUGUUGAUCCUUUCACAGGUUGCUUAAGCUGUGGUUUUCUCUUUCUCCUUCAUGCCAGAUCUGUGUUGCACUGCGGGACUCCAUACUAGAAAUCCACCUUUCCUCCUGUCCUGGUUUCGGCUGGGACAGAGUUAAUUUUCUUUCUAGUAUUGUUAUUAUUUUCUUCCUUUCUGUCCUAUUAAGCUGUUCUUUUCU